CUGAAGGGAGCAUUAACUAAAACAUCUCACAUACGCCGUCACAUAGUUCUGGGUGCCCGAAAGGGGUUGGAUUAUGGGGUGUGUGGAGGCCUAACC
rnacentral:sRNA from 1 species